CACGUAGGGGGCAAGCGUUGUCCGGAAUCAUUGGGCGUAAAGAGCUCGUAGGCGGCUCAGUAAGUCGGGUGUGAAACCCUCAGGCUCAACCUGGGGACGCCACCCGAUACUGCUGUGGCUAGAGUCCAGUAGGGGAGUGUGGAAUUCCCGGUGUAGCGGUGAAAUGCGCAGAUAUCGGGAGGAACACCAGCGGCGAAGGCGGCACUCUGGGCUGGUACUGACGCUGAG
rnacentral:rRNA from 1 species